rnacentral:piRNA from 1 species
UUGGACUUGUUCCAGGAAUACUACCAGAUU